rnacentral:rRNA from 1 species
GACGAACGCUGGCGGCGUGCUUAACACAUGCAAGUCGAACGGAAAGGCCCCUUUGGGGGUACUCGAGUGGCGAACGGGUGAGUAACACGUGAGUAACCUGCCCUUGACUUCGGGAUAACUUCAGGAAACUGGGGCUAAUACCGGAUAGGAAUCCUUGCUGCAUGGUGGGGGUUGGAAAGCUUCGGCGGUUUUGGAUGGACUCGCGGCUUAUCAGCUUGUUGGUGGGGUAGUGGCUUACCAAGGCUUUGACGGGUAGCCGGCCUGAGAGGGCGACCGGCCAUAUUGGGACUGAGAUACGGCCCAGACUCCUACGGGAGGCAGCAGUGGGGAAUAUUGCACAAUGGGCGGAAGCCUGAUGCAGCAACGCCGCGUGCGGGAUGACGGCCUUCGGGUUGUAAACUGCUUUCAGCAGGGGCGAAGCUUGUGGUGACGGUACCUGCAGAAGAAGCACCGGCUAACUACGUG